CACGGAGUUAGCCGAUCCUUAUUCUUACAGUACCGUCAAGGUUCUUCGCAAAGAACUGUUUCUUCCCGUACAAAAGCAGUUUACACACCAUAGAUGCGUCAUCCUGCACGCGGCAUGGCUGGUUCAGGCUUGCGCCCAUUGACCAAUAUUCCUCACUGCUGCCUCCCGUAGGAGUCUGGUCCGUGUCUCAGUACCAGUGUGGGGGAUCUCCCUCUCAGGACCCCUACCAUCAUCGUCUUGGUAAGCCGUUACCUUACCAACUAACUAAUGGGACGCAUGCUCAUCUUAUACCAAUAAAUCUUUAUAAUUAAAAGAUGCCUUUUCAAUUAACCAUAAGGUAUUAAUCCAAAUUUCUCUGGGCUAUCCCUUAGUAUAAGGUAGAUUGCAUACGCGUUACGCACCCGUGCGCCGGUCUCAAGUUCCGAAGAACUCUACCCCUCGACUUGCAUGUGUUAGGCCUGCCGCUAGCGUUCAUCCUGAGCCAGGAUCAAACUC
rnacentral:rRNA from 1 species